rnacentral:rRNA from 1 species
UAAAAAGCUCGUAGUUGGACUUUGGGUUGGGCCGGCCGGUCCGCCUCUGGUGUGCACCGGUCGUCUCGUCCCUUCUGCCGGCGAUGCACUCCUGGCCUUAAUUGGUCGGGUCGUGCCUCCGGAGCUGUUACUUUGAAAAAAUUAGAGUGCUCAAAGCAAGCCUACGCUCUGUAUACAUUAGCAUGGGAUAACAUUAUAGGAUUUCGAUCCUAUUACGUUGGCCUUCAUCAUCGGAGUAAUGAUUAAAAGGGACAGUCGGGGGCAUUCGUAUUUCAUAGUCAGAGGUGAAAUUCUUGAAUUUAAGAUAUAUAAAUGACUGCGAAAGCAUUUGCCAAGGAUGUUUUCAUCAUACAAGAACUAAUG